rnacentral:lncRNA from 1 species
GGGAAGCUCCUGGUAAAUUCCAAUGGAAUGACCAAUCAGUAUGUGUUAUUGAUCCAGAUAAUGACCAAUCAGUAUGUGUUAUUGAUCCAGAUAAUGACCAAUCAGUAUGUGUUAUUGAUUCAGAUAAUGACCAAUCAGUAUGUGUUAUUGAUCCAGAUAAUGACCAAUCAGUAUGUGUUAUUGAUCCAGAUAAUGACCAAUCAGUGUGUGUUAUUGAUCUCUUACUGUCCAGAUAAUGACCAAUCAGUGUGUGUUAUUGAUCUGUCCAGAUAAUGGCACGUUACACCUGUCUGGUGUCCAGAGGGAUGCAGCAGGAGAGUAUCGGUGUACUGCUGAGAACCUGUCGGGGCGAGACCAGCAGAGCACCAUCCUCUCCAUUCAUGCUGCGGACGAGCUUCCUCCAGAGGAAGAAAGUGUGACAUUUCCUCCACCCACAAAUAUAACUCAACAGCAUACUACAGGCUUGAACCUAUCAACUUUAACUCAACAGCAUACUACGGGCUUGAACCUAUCAACUAUAACUCAACAGCAUACUACGGGCUUGAACCUAUCAACUAUAACUCAACAGCAUACUACAGGCUUGAACCUAUCAACUAUAACUCAACAGCAUACUACAGGCUUGAACCUAUCAACUAUAACUCAACAGCAUACUACAGGCUUGAACCUAUCGACUAUAACUCAACAGCAUACUACGGGCUUGAAUCUAUCAACUGAUUCGAACACAGGAAGUGGUCAGCAGUAUGACAAUUACACAAAGAAAUCAGGU